ACAGGUGAGACAGGUGAGAUACAACAGGUGAGAUACAGGUGAGACAGGUAAUACUGUACUGACGCCACUGACACUGACCCUGCACAGGUGAGAGAGGUGAGAGAGAACAGGUGAGACAGGUGACAUUGUACAGGUGACAUUGUACAGGUGAGACAGGUGAGACAUUGUACAGGUGUGACAUUGUACAGGUGUGACAUUGUACAGGUGUGACAUUGUACAGGUGUGACAUUGCACUGACGCCACUGACACUGACCCUGCACAGGUGAGAUACAACAGGUGUGACAUUGUACAGGUGACAUUGUACUGACGCCACUGACACUGACCCUGGACAGGUGAGACAGGACAGGUGAGAUACAGGUGAGACAGGUGACAUUGUACAGGUGACAUUGUACAGGUGACAUUGUACAGGUGACAUUGUACAGGUGACACUACAGGUGAGU
rnacentral:lncRNA from 1 species